rnacentral:rRNA from 1 species
GACGAACGCUGGCGGCGUGCUUAACACAUGCAAGUCGAACGGAAAGGCCCUGCUUUUGUGGGGUGCUCGAGUGGCGAACGGGUGAGUAACACGUGAGUAACCUGCCCUUGACUUUGGGAUAACUUCAGGAAACUGGGGCUAAUACCGGAUAGGAGCUCCUGCUGCAUGGUGGGGGUUGGAAAGUUUCGGCGGUUGGGGAUGGACUCGCGGCUUAUCAGCUUGUUGGCGGGGUAGUGGCUUACCAAGGCGUUGACGGGUAGCCGGCCUGAGAGGGUGACCGGCCACAUUGGGACUGAGAGACGGCCCAGACUCCUACGGGAGGCAGCAGUGGGGAAUAUUGCACAAUGGGCGGAAGCCUGAUGCAGCAACGCCGCGUGCGGGAUGACGGCCUUCGGGUUGUAAACCGCUUUCGCCUGUGACGAAGCGUGAGUGACGGUAAUGGGUAAAGAAGCACCGGCUAACUACGUG